CAGCAGCCGCGGUAAUACAGAGGGUGCGAGCGUUAAUCGGAUUUACUGGGCGUAAAGCGUGCGUAGGCGGCUUCUUAAGUCGGAUGUGAAAUCCCCGAGCUUAACUUAGGAAUUGCAUUCGAUACUGGGAAGCUAGAGUAUGGGAGAGGAUGGUAGAAUUCCAGGUGUAGCGGUGAAAUGCGUAGAGAUCUGGAGGAAUACCGAUGGCGAAGGCAGCCAUCUGGCCUAAUACUGACGCUGAGGUACGAAAGCAUGGGGAGCAAACAGGAUUAGAUACCCCAGUAGUCCCUGUCUCUUAUAC
rnacentral:rRNA from 1 species